AAUUGGAGGGCAAGUCUGGUGCCAGCAGCCACGGUAAUUCCAGCUCCAAUAGCGUAUAUUAAAGUUGUUGCAGUUAAAAAGCUCGUAGUUGAACCUCGGGAUCAGUACGCUGGUCGUGUCUCCGGUAUGUACUGGUGUCACUGAUUCCUUCCUUCUGAAGAGCCAUCAUGCCAUUCACUUGGUGUGGUGGGGAAUCAGGACUGUUACUUUGAAAAAAUUAGAGUGUUUAAAGCAGGCUCGCGCUUGAAUACAUUAGCAUGGAAUAAUGAAAUAGGACGUUUAUCCUAUUUUGUUGGUUUCUAGGAUUGACGUAAUGAUUAAUAGGGAUAGUUGGGGGCAUUAGUAUUCAAUUGUCAGAGGUGAAAUUCUUGGAUUUAUUGAAGACUAACUACUGCGAAAGCAUUUGCCAAGGAUGUUUUCAUUAAUCAAGAACGAAAGUUAGGGGAUCGAAGACGAUCAGAUACCGUCGUAGCCUUAACCAUAAACUAUGCCGACUAGGGAUCGGAUGAUGUUGAUUUUUUAAUGACUCAUUCGGCACCUUACGGGAAACCAAAGUGU
rnacentral:rRNA from 1 species